rnacentral:lncRNA from 1 species
UCACCAUGUUGGCCAGGCUGGUCUUUAACUCCUGACCUCAGGUGAUCCGCCCACCUCGGCCUCCCAAAGUGUUGGGAUUACAGGUGUGAGCCACCGCACCCAGUCCCUUGGUUACUUUUUCAAGUGAACUUUUUGAUUCUUGUUACUCUCUGGGGAAAAGCCUGGCGUUUUUUGUUUUUAGGUGGAUCACCAGAGGUCAGGAGUUGGAGACCAGCCUGGCCAACAUGGUGAAACCCCAUCUCUACUAAAAAUACAAAAAUUAGCCAGGCGUGGUGGCGGUUGUCUGUAAUCCCAGCUACUCAGGAGGCUGAGGCAGGACAAUUGCUUGAACCUGGGAGGCAGAGGUUGCAGUGAGCUGAAAUCGUCAUGUGCUGCUUCCUAUCUUCUUUUCUGAGAAUCAGCACGUGUCCAGCUGCUCAGAAGCUUCAGGAAACGGUGUGGU